rnacentral:rRNA from 1 species
CUCCGCGCCGUGCAGCGCCCCAGGCCACGGCCUCCGCCUGGCCGUGUGCCAUGCCGCACCGCGUGCCCGUCCGCCGCCCGCGGCGCACCAGCAUCUUCUAGCGCUACGGCAGCACGAAUGCGUGCGGCAGUGCCCUCCCAUCGGCAGCGAAUGGUGGUGCGUAGCACGGCGGCGUGAGCCAAGACGAAUCCUUCGAUUCGUAACCGCACAUGGAAAUUGGAAGAGCGGCCAUGGAGCCUUAUCCCUUCGCGAUUAUACACUUCACCCAUGUGGCUUUACCUAUUUUCAUAAUAGGCUUGCGUGUAUAAAUCUUGGAGUAAUUCCUGUAUGUCUCAGGAUAACUUAACAUGGUUCAACUACUCGUGCUAUUCAUUAGCACUUGUCAUCUUUAUUAGACCAUGUAUGUAUAGAUAUGCAUUUCAACCCAUUUUCUGUUGAGUUUUACAAUUCCAGAAAUAUGUGUAUAUUUAUAUUUGACAUGUUCAAUGUGUUUACCACAUUCUCUAGAACAUGUUUUUCGCGAUUGAGAUUAAAUUUUC